UACGUAGGGGGCUAGCGUUGUUCGGAAUCAUUGGGCGUAAAGAGCGUGUAGGCGGUCCGGUAAGUCCGCUGUGAAAGUCGGGGGCUCAACCCUCGAAUGCCGGUGGAUACUGUCGGGCUAGAGUGCGGAAGAGGCGAGUGGAAUUCCUGGUGUAGCGGUGAAAUGCGCAGAUAUCAGGAGGAACACCUAUUGCGAAGGCAGCUCGCUGGGACGGUACUGACGCUGAGACGCGAAAGCGUGGGGAGCGAACAGG
rnacentral:rRNA from 1 species